GCAUAUCAAUAAGCGGAGGAAAAGAAACUAACAAGGAUUCCCCUAGUAACGGCGAGUGAAGCGGGAAGAGCUCAAAUUUGAAAUCUGGUGGCCUCAGGUCAUCCGAGUUGUAAUCUAUAGAAGUGUUUUCCGUGCUGGCUCAUGUACAAGUCCCUUGGAACAGGGCGUCAUAGAGGGUGAGAAUCCCGUCCUUGACAUGAACUACCAGUGCUCUGUGAUACAUUUUCAACGAGUCGAGUUGUUUGGGAAUGCAGCUCAAAAUGGGUGGUAAAUUCCAUCUAAAGCUAAAUAUUGGCGAGAGACCGAUAGCGAACAAGUACCGUGAGGGAAAGAUGAAAAGCACUUUGGAAAGAGAGUUAAACAGUAUGUGAAAUUGUUGAAAGGGAAACGAUUGAAGUCAGUCGUGCUCUUUGGAUUCAGCCGGUUCUGCCGGUGUACUUCCUUUGAGUGGGGUCAACAUCAGUUUUGAUCGCUGGAUAAAGGCUGGAGGAACGUAGUACCCUCGGGUAAACUUGUAGCCUCCUGUCACAUACAGUGGUUGGGACUGAGGAACGCAGCACGCCUUUAUGGCCGGGAUUCGUCCACGUACGUGCUUAGGAUGUUGACAUAAUGGCUUUAAACGACCCGUCUUGAAACACGGACC
rnacentral:rRNA from 1 species